AGCGGGGUAGAGCAGACAGGAGUGCUCGCAGGGCUCAUAACCCUGAGGUCGUUGGUUCAAAUCCAACCCCCGCUA
rnacentral:tRNA from 1 species